ACUCAAAUGAAUUGACGGGGGUCCGCACAAGCGGUGGAACAUGUGGUUUAAUUCGACACUACGCGAGGAACCUUACCUAGGCUUGACAUACACUUGACAGUCGUAGAAAUACGAUCUUCUGGGCUUUUGUCCAGACAAGUGAACAGGUGCUGCAUGGCUGUCGUCAGCUCGUGUCGUGAGAUGUCUGGUUAAGUCCUCUAACGAGCGCAACUCCUACCAUCAGUUGCAACCAUUUUAUGGGCACUUUGAUGGGACUGCCUGGGAAACCAGGAGGAAGGUGGGAAUGACGUCAAGUCCUCAUGGCCCUUAUGCCUAGGGCUACACACGUGUUACAAUGGCCAGUACAAAGGGCUGCCAACUCGUAAGAGUGCGCUAAUCCCAGAAAGCUGGUCUAAGUUCGGAUUGAGGUCUGCAACUCGACCUCAUGAAGUUGAAAUCGCUAGUAAUCGCAUAUCAGAACGAUGCGGUGAAUACGUUCUCGGGCCUUGCACACACCGCCCGU
rnacentral:rRNA from 1 species